UGCCUUUUGCAUCAUGCUUAAAUGAGUUUUUGAAUUAUUAUAUUCUUUAGCCGAAAACCCUAGAUUUCAUUUGUUGGUUGUUUAGUAAUUAAGGUCAGGUAGAUUAAUCUACAAAACUACAAGUGUGUUGUGAUAAAUUAGUCGGUAGGGUUGAUACCUGUUUAACAGUUUUUAAUUUUGCGCUAUUUACAUAGUAACGAGAUUAUGUAAAGGUAUAUAUUUGAUUUUAUUAUGUAUUUAUAAUAGGGUUAAAAGUACCCAUUUGUGAUUAUAUUGUUCAAAAUUUUUUUAAAAAUAAGUCAAAUUAUUUUUUAUUACUGUUUGAUUAAACUAUUUGAAAAUUAAUAAUGUUUAAAUAAGUAAUUAUAUUAUAUCAAUUAUUUCUAAAGUACUGCCCGUCUGUUUAUUAAAAACAUUUCCAUAUUUUACUUUUUAUGGUAGUACCUGCUCUAUGUAUUUUUAUAAAUGGCCGCAGUAUUUUGACUGUGCAAAGGUAGCAUAAUUAAUUGCCUUAUAAUUGAAGGCUUGUUUGAAUGGUUUGACGUGGUAGUUAUGAAUAUUUGGUUUAUUGUUGAAAUUUAUGUAGAGGGCACAGAAUCCUCUUUUUUUAAUUAGACGGAAAGACCCCAGGAUCUUUUGUUUUUGUCUGGGGCAGAUUUGAAUAAUUUAUUCUUAUUUUGACCCUUGAGGGUUUAAUGAGUUAAGUUACCCUGGGGAUAACAGUGUAAUAGUUCAUGAGAGGUCUUAUCGAAUGAACUGUUUGCUACCUCGAUGUUGACUUAGGUAAAUGAGUUUGGCGCAGUAGUCAUACUUUUUGGUCUGUUCGACCAUAAUUACCUCC
rnacentral:rRNA from 1 species